UUGCAGCCACUUAAGCUGACUGUGCUCUUUUCCCCACGGGCCCCAGUGCGCAAUGGUUGCAAACAGCAGCAUUCUUAGUAGUGUGUGCAGCCUGUUGCCUCUAUGGGUUGCCCUAAGGGACCCUGGAGACAGCC
ensembl:snoRNA SNORA70 Small nucleolar RNA SNORA70